rnacentral:rRNA from 1 species
GAUGAACGCUAGCGGCAGGCCUAACACAUGCAAGUCGAGGGGUAUAUAGUGCUUGCACUAUAGAGACCGGCGCACGGGUGCGUAACGCGUAUGCAAUCUACCUUGUACAGGGGAAUAGCCCAGGGAAACUUGGAUUAAUGCCCCAUAGUAUUAUUUUGUAGCAUUACAUUAUAAUUAAAGAUUUAUCGGUACAAGAUGAGCAUGCGUCCCAUUAGUUAGUUGGUAAGGUAACGGCUUACCAAGACAGCGAUGGGUAGGGGCCCUGAGAGGGGGAUCCCCCACACUGGUACUGAGACACGGACCAG